rnacentral:rRNA from 1 species
CAGUAGCCGCGGUAAUACGAAGGGGGCUAGCGUUGCUCGGAAUGACUGGGCGUAAAGGGCGCGUAGGCGGGUUUUUAAGUCAGAGGUGAAAUCCCAAGGCUCAACCUUGGAACUGCCUUUGAUACUGGAAGUCUUGAGUCCGGGAGAGGUGAGUGGAACUGCGAGUGUAGAGGUGAAAUUCGUAGAUAUUCGCAAGAACACCAGUGGCGAAGGCGGCUCACUGGCCCGGUACUGACGCUGAGGCGCGAAAGCGUGGGGAGCAAACAGGAUUAGAUACCCCCGUAGUCCCUGUCUCUUAUAC